CAACAGCCCAGUAUAACCCAUCAAAGCCAGGCUGAUGCUCAGGGCUUCAACAGAAUUGGGCAGAACAGCCACGAACCCCCUCCUAAAACUACGAUCUGGACCUCAGCAGACACCAUCAGGCUUUAGGUUCAAGUUGGUUUGGAAUCCAACAGGCCUGACAUCAUCAUUUCUCACCAGUGUAACCUUGGCUCAUGAAUUCUGCUUUCUGAGCCUCAGUUUCCUCAUCUGCAGAAUGGGGGCAGCACAGAGCCUCCCUCAUUGCCUUGUUGUGAGCGUUCCCCAGGAUCAUGAGUGCUUUAAAAGGUGCUUAGGUCAGCUGAGCACAAUGGUUCACACCUGCAAUCCCAACACUUUGAAGGCUGAGACGGAAGGAAGAUCGCUUGAGCCCAGGCGUUCAAGACCAGCCUGAGCAACAUAGUGAGAUCCCAUCUCUAUUUAUAUAUUUGAAGUGCUUAGGUGGUAGUUCCUCAAUAAAUUAAACAGAAUUACCAUAUGAUCC
rnacentral:lncRNA from 1 species